rnacentral:rRNA from 1 species
UCUGGAUCAGUGGCGAACGGGUGAGUAACACGUGAGCAAUCUGCCCCUGACUCUGGGAUAACAGCUGGAAACAGCUGCUAAUACCGGAUACGAGUUGCGAAGGCAUCUUCAGCAGCUGGAAAGAAUUUCGGUCAGGGAUGAGCUCGCGGCCUAUCAGCUUGUUGGUGAGGUAAUGGCUCACCAAGGCGUCGACGGGUAGCCGGCCUGAGAGGGUGACCGGCCACACUGGGACUGAGACACGGCCCAGACUCC